rnacentral:hammerhead_ribozyme from 1 species
AUCCAGCUGACGAAUCCUAAAUAGGACGAAGCGCGCGUCCUGGAU